CAUCGAAGAGUUUGAGGAGCUUUUUAUAUUUAUUAUUAGCGUUUUUACUAAGUUAUCAUUUGUAGAAUAUCAGGGAAUUUUUUUUGACUUGUUCCUUGAUUUCUCUUAGGUUGUUUUAAUGGAUUUUUGGAACCCUUUCAGCGGGUAUAAGAUAGGCUGCUGUUUCUGCAUAGGUAAUUUGAGCUGGAAUGGAGGACUCAUUUGCCUUCUGGCUAGAGAGGGCAAUCUUUUCAAGGCAUACCACUUUAGCCAUUUCGUGCACUGGAUAUGGUGGAAGAAAGCUGUGUUUUCGCAGCGCUCUGAUCUCCAAAACCUGUUCACGAAUUACCAUUCACGUUCUCAAGGAAUUUAGUAUUUAAUCCGAAGACGUCAAAACAAUGCCAAGCUGGUUCUUAUUAUAAUCAGUGUUUGGGAGGCUCAAGAGUGGUUUCUUCACCACGACGGAUUGCAACUCCCUUUUUAUUUGGCGGACAACCGGAUACAGGAAGGCGCCACGAUGGCGUCAGCAAAGGAUAGCUGGCUGGCUGGUUGGUUUCGGAAUUCUUAACAAUGAUUUUGAGACAAAAGGGACCCACUUAGAAUGUUCCCAGAAAAACACGCCUUAACAGCAAACGUAUCAAAUUUCAAAAGAUAAUAAUACCUAACAAUUCCGCAAGGAUAACACCAAAUUUAACAAUUCCCCAAGGAUUACACCAAACUUAACAAUUCCGCAAAAUUCCUGAGGAUGAUGGUAGUCAUACUUAAGAAAGAACUACACAACAAAUAUGAUGGUGUGCCUGGAGACACCUUGCAACCCUACAAUGAAGAUUGUGGAGGUCGCUGCAAUCGCAGAAAUAGUUAAGUGACACGGAAUAGCGUUUUCUGCUGUAAAUAACACUUUAAUGACGCCUUAUUUGCAAAACCCUCUACUGCUUGGCGCAGACAUCGUACUUCAUUUCCUCACAAUGAAUGCAUAGGCUGCUUCCCAUCACCAUUUGACUGUUACUUGUGUCUAAGAAGUUUGAAAACAUUGCAUCUCCGAAUGCAAAGGCAUAUGGAGAAUGGUCUUCAAGUUGCUCAAUACCUGGAGCGACACCCAAAAGUAGAAAAAGUGUUUUACCCAGAUAGGUCUUGAAAGCGAUCCAGCAACAUGCUUUAGCAAAAAAACAAAGCAUUGUAUAUAAUGGAAUGGUCGCCUUUUGCAUAAAGGGUGGAAUGCAGGAAGCCAGAGAAUUCGCAAGAAAGAUAAAAGUUUUCAAUUUAGG